AUAUCUUUCUGUACGGGAAGGAUGAGAAGCUUCGACUAAGGUUCGAUUCGAGCGCAGCGAGAAAGCGUUGCCGCAGGCAACGACCCGAAGGGCGAAG
rnacentral:sRNA from 1 species